UUUACACACCUUCCUGGAGGAGCUUGCUGUAUAACCCGAUAACCCACGUCACACCUAACCAACUUUUGAACCCACAGCCUGUAUACCAUCGUCGUCAGUUUACUUCAUAAGAAAAGUACACAAAAAGAACAAAUGUUCACAACGCCAGAUCGAGGUGCAGCUUAUAAGUUGGGAACAAGUGAGCUACAAUAUUAAAAUAGCCAACAAGCAAAUAAAAUUAUGAAUAGAUAAAUGAAUAUUUUAUCCCGAAACAGGAUUCAGAAGUAAUGACUAAAAGACAAUAGCCAUGAACAACACAGCUCUGUAAUUCGC
rnacentral:rRNA from 1 species